AGGCUUCUCUAAUGGUGAUGAUGUGCAAGUCGAGCAGUUUUAUGUACCUGAAAGGACCCUCCCAAAACACACCUAGUAGUCAGGUACUCAAAACAUUAGCAGUUUUGUUGUCAAGAUGUUACAGACAGUUUAACAAGAAAGCUCAGUCUGUAGGCUGUCGAUUUAUAGGUAUGAAAACUUGCCAUUUUUAUUUUUCACACUGCCUGAAAGUAUGAUCUGUCUGUUCCAAAUUGGUUGUGUUUCAAACCAACCUCUCUGCUUGUAAUUUUCUUUUGAGCUAGUGGAAAGCAAUCUCCUUGAGUUUACUUCUA